rnacentral:lncRNA from 10 species
CCCAAGAAGCAAUGUAAAGUUUGAAACGAGCCGAGCGCGGUGGCUCACGCCUGUAAUCCCAGCACUUUGGGAGGCCGAGGCUGGCGAAUCAUUUGAGUAGAGACGGGGUUUCACCGUGUUAGCCGGGAUCCAUCUCCUGACUUCGUGAUCCGCCCGCUUCGGCCUCCCAAAGUGCUGAGAUUACAGACGUGAGCCACCGCGCCCUGCCUAUAUUAGGUUUUUAAAUAGCAGGAGGCAAAGCUUUUCGGUGUGAUCCUGACUUCACUUGGGGAAAAAGGGCAGACACAGGGUCUCACUGUGUUGGCCAGGCUGGAGUGCGGCAGUCUGGAACUCCUGGGCCCAAGUGAUCCUCCAAUCAGCCUCACAAAGCACUGGAAUUACAGGUAGCUCAGAGAGCUGCGCUGGAGGAGAAAAGCCAGUCCUGGCAGGAGCUCUGGUACCUGGGAAGCUGGAUGGAGAGCCUGGGCCAGAAUCCCGGACCCCUCACCUCUGCGGCCUAGCUUUGUGACCUUGGCAAAUCCAUUCUAUGCACCUCCAUUUCCUGUACAGUGGGGAUCCUUAUUUCUCUGGCACAGAUUGGUAUUUGUUCUGUAAAGCCCAGUACCACUUUAUUUUAUUUUAGUUAUUGAUUUUUUUGAGACAGGGCCUCACUCUGUUGCCAAGGCUGGAAUGCAGUGGCGAGAUCAUAGCUCACUGCAGCCUCAAACUCCUGGGCUCAGGCCAUCCUCCUGCCUCGGCCUCCUGAGUAGCUGGGACGACAGGCGUGCACCACUGCGCCUAGCUCCAGUACCAUGUUUAAACGGUGCUCAGAAAACGUGCUAAACUUGGUGGAUGGGAAUUGAAAAGAGAUUUAAUGUUUUAAAAAUCAAAGUCACUCAGCUGCAGUGCCACAUGGGAAGGAGGCCUGGAUGUGAAUGUUCCUGGGAGCUGAGAGCUCCUGUGACUGUCGCCAGUUUCCUGUGGUCUCCCACAGACUCAGGACAUCUCCCUCUGCUCCAGGACACCUCAGGACCACCAGAGGGCACUCAUCGCACCUUCACCCCUGGAAGGGAGCUGGUCCUGGGGCCAAAACCCACUGUGCCUGGGAAGCCCUUCCUGGCUUCUGCUCUCCUCAAUGUAUGACAGCCCUGAUUUACCCCCAGGGACUGUUGCCACUCGGGGUUGUAGAGUAAUAUGUAACCAGACUGGAGAACCACAGCAAUGCUCUCUCCUCUGCCCAUCACCUCCCCUUGGCCCCUCCCUCUUCAUCAGCCCCAUUUUGGAGAAGGGAGAAAGAAGGGAGAGGCAGCAGUCUCCUCCCAGGUGGGGCCGGACUCCAGGGAAGGAGAAUUUUCAGAAGUUGCUGGAGUUGCCGAAUCUGUCAGGGCCCAGGGUUCACAGAGCAGUGAUGGAGGAGAAAGGAGAGGAAGCAGAUCUAAGCACACAUGGGCAUCAAACCAGAGGAACAAAGUCACAUGCAGAGGGCUGCACAUAGACACAGGGAAACACACACACGGAGAUGCACAGAAACACGCAGACCCCAUGCAGGGACCUGCUUUCCCGCCACAGAGGAAAGCAAUCUGAUCAAACAGACCCACUGUGCACCCAGCCCUCCAUGCUUGGGGACAACACACCUACAAAAAUAUAAGAAAAAAAAGGAAAA